ACAGCCGGUUUCCAUACCAGCAGCUGUUUGGUUUAAUAUCUUUUCAGCAAAGGUGCCAUAGGGAGCCUUUCAAAAACCCUCAUGUUAAUACUUCAGCCUGUUUUCCUGACGAGAUUCAGCUGAGAAUAGUGUCCUGGUAAUUUGCCACAGAGCGUGAGUCGUGAAACUUUUACAUAUGAAAUUCUCUUAAAGAUGUCACAUUUGAAAACCCUUGAACUUCAGUGAAAUGUAACUGUGUGUUGGAGGGCAUGUCAUGAUUUUACUGGUGUGCUGGAGUUAGUCUGUCCUGGGAGACAGCGUACACACUGUAAUGGAUGCUUGUUCAGCCUGUGUGAAAGAGGGUCUGCAGACGUGUAAUAGUCCCAGCUUCGAACACACCAUCAGGAAGCCUGUUGACUUCUCCCUUUCGACAGCGAAGCCAUAAUGUUUCAAAUACAGCUCUGUUAGCUGAGUGACCAAUUAAGGAAGCAGAAAACAGCAAGAAGAAAGGUUGCAGAAUUAUCCAAAGAAAAGAGAGCUGAUUUUUUAAAUGAUAGCUAAAGACAUCUUUGAAGACAGUUGAAUCUGGGUUGGCAAGGCAAAAAGUCAAACGGCAGAUCAAAACAAGAGAAGAAAACUGACUAAAAUAAAAGUGAUGAUAUGUUCAUGUAAUUUAAACAUUCAAGUCUGUGUAAAUGAAUUAAAAAUUUUCUCUGAAA